AGCUUUGUUAGUUUGUGUCAAUUCUUCAAGAGGGCAAAUUUGAAGAAUUCAACCAAACGAUUUCGACGCUGGAAACGAUAAUUGACGGUACCCCUCAUUUAAACACCGAACAGAGACAGAAAAGGCAGAUAUGUGGCUUCCUCGCUCGGAUAAUGCACGGGAAACAUUUAGACGUGUCCUUCGACAGAGACGAGCGGUUGUCGCCUCUGAUGUCGGCUGUCGGUGUCUGGGCGUCUCAGGAAGAGACUGUGGCUGAUCUCACUCUGUUCCAGCACAUCACCAAUCUACUCUAUGUUCAGGUCAUGAUUUAAUGUGUCGGUUUCUGUGCUCUACUGUGUAUACUGUCUGUCUACAUGUAACAAUUCAUUAUU